ACAAAAAAUAGCACUAAAAACCUAAAAUACUUCAAAUAUGCCAAAAAUAGCAAAAUAAAAUUUCAUAUUUUAAGUCUCUGGUGCAUAAAACAAAUUUAUAGCCCACUCUGCUAUUUUUAUCUGUAUCCUAUAAUAAGUAGCAAAUGCUAUAAAAUCCGAACCCUGAUUAUUAUUAUUACAGGUGCUAGCUGAUGUAUUUGAAAAUUUCCGUAAGGAAAGCUUGAAAAAUUAUAAACUAGACCCUGCACACUACUUUUCAUCUCCGGCCCUUUCGUUUGACGCCAUAUUAAAGUACACAAACGCACACAUUCAGUUGUUAUCGGAUCCAGAUAUGCUGUUAAUGUUUGAACAUUGAAUAAAAAAAAUUAAUAAAAUAUAUCAAACUAAAAGUAAUUAUUAAAUAUAGGUUAAUCAGAGAUAUGCACGUGCAAACCACCCAGGCUUAGUCGAUUACAAACCCAAUGAAGCACACAAGUAUCUUCAAUAUUUAGACGCUACUAAUUUAUAUGGAACGGCAAUGAUGGAACCCAUUCCGUUUGGCUAUUUUGAGUGGUUACUGUUACAUUGGAAGAGAUACUCAACACACCCGACGACGGUAAAUACGGUUAUCUUGCAGAGGUCGAUGUAGAUUAUCCCCGAGAACUACACGAUUUACACAACGAUUUACCGUUUUUUCCUGUAAACGAAAAACCGCCAUUAAUGUCUUCUAAAUGUAGUAAACUGAUGACUACACUAGAUCCCAAACGUGGUUACAUUGUACAUUACCGAGCUCUAAAACAAGCUGUAAAACAUGGCGUGGUAGUUACCAAAUUGCAUAAAUGUAUCAGAUUUAUGCAAUAUCGUUGGUUGGCUCCUUAAAAACAGCUUAAUACGGAUUUGCGCAAAAAAGCGACCACCACGUUUGGACAAAACUUAUCCAAAACGAUGAUCAACUCAAACUACGGAAAAACUUUGGAGAAUGUUAGAAAACACCAAAAUAUCAAACUCGUAUGUAACCCGGAGAAAUUGUUAAAGUUGGCUGCAAAACCGUCGUAUAGCCACAGCACCAUAUUCAGCGAAGAUUUAGUUGCUAUUCACAUGUACAAGGAGAGGAUUAAUUUUUAUAAACCAAUUUUUAUCGGGCAGGCAAUAUUGGAUAUCAGUAAAACUAUAAUGUACAAAUUCCAUUAUGAAGUUAUGUUACCGUUAUAUGGACCGGAAAGGCUCAUGUUAUGUUACAUGGACACCGAUUCUUUUAUCUACCUAAUUAUGACUAAUAGUUUUCACGAUGAUUGAAAAAUUACCUGCUCGAAUAUUUCGAUACAUCCAAUUAUCUAACCGACCACCCGUGUUACACCGAUAAACGUAAAAAACAACCGGGUACGUUUACUGACGAAUGCAAGGGCAUGCACAUGCAAGAAAUUAUCGCAUUAUUGCCCAAAGUCUAUGCAUAUUUGACAACUUUGCAAAACUACAGUGAUAAAGUGUUUACGAGAGACGUCGAUGAAGUGAAACGAUUGAAAGGUGUGGGUCAAGAUGUAGUCAAACACGAAAUCAAGAUGGUUGAUUAUUUAAAUUGUUUGCGGGACAGGCUCAAACAAAUACGAAAGAAAAUGUCGUUAAUACGUUCUAAAAAUCACCGCGUUUCAACGGUAGAAAUUGAUAAGCUCGUGUUGUCCAACAACUAUGACAAGCGUGCGAUGGUCGGUGACUAAUGUGAAUACAAAGAUAUGUACACAAAAGCGUGGGGACAUUAUUCCCUACAAAACUCGAAUGUCAACGAAUAAUAUUUUAUUUAUAUAUCAAUGUAUGAUAAUGCAUAAUAGAGUAGUCAUAUAAAUAAUAUGUAUUUAAAUUUUAUUGAAUUAAAU